UCCUGGCUCAGGAUGAACGCUGGCGGCGUGCCUAACACAUGCAAGUCGAACGGGAACCUACUAACGGAGACUUCGGUGAAGAUAGUAGAAUUCUAGUGGCGGAUGGGUGAGUAACGCGUGGGUAACCUACCUACAAGAAUUGGAUAACAGCGAGAAAUUGUUGCUAAUACAAUAUAAGCUUACGUUGUCGCAUGACAGAGUGAGAAAAGAUUUAUCGCUUGUAGAUGGACCCGCGUUUGAUUAGCAGUUGGUGGGGUAGAGGCCUACCAAAGCGACGAUCAAUAGCCGGCCUGAGAGGGGUGACCGGCCACAUUGGGACUGAGACACGGCCCAAACUCCUACGGGAGGCAGCAGUGGGGAAUAUUGCACAAUGGGGGGAACCCUGAUGCAAGCAACGCCGCGUGAGUGAAGAAGUAUUCGGUAUGUAAAGCUCUAUCGAUAGGGAAUAAGAUGAAGGUACCUAAGUAAGAAGCCCCGGCUAACUACGUGCCAGCAGCAGC
rnacentral:rRNA from 1 species